rnacentral:rRNA from 1 species
UUGGGAAUCGUACGCAAUGGACGAAAGUCUGACGUCGUGACGCCGCGUGGAGGAUUAAGGCCCUCGGGUUGUAAACUCCUUUUCUACAGGAAGAUUAUGACUGUACUGUAGGAAUAAGGACCUGCUAACUACGUGCCAGCAGCAGCGGUAAUACGUAGGGUCCAAGCGUUAUCCGGAAUUAUUGGGCGUAAAGAGCGCGUAGGUGGUUUGGUAAGUUCUACCUUAAAUAUCGAGGCCCAACCUCGAACUUGGGUAGAAAACUGCCUUACUUGAGUAUUGCAGGGGCGAGUGGAAUAUACGGUGUAGGAGUAAAAUCCAUUGAUAUCGUAUAGAACACCAAUGGCGAAGGCAGCUCGCUAGGCAAUUACUGACACUGAGGCGCGAAAGCGUGGGUAGCGAACGGG